rnacentral:rRNA from 1 species
AAGGCGACGAUCAGUAGCUGGUCUGAGAGGACGACCAGCCACACUGGGACUGAGACACGGCCCAGACUCCUACGGGAGGCAGCAGUGGGGAAUUUUGGACAAUGGGCGAAAGCCUGAUCCAGCAAUGCCGCGUGUGUGAAGAAGGCCUUCGGGUUGUAAAGCACUUUUGUCCGGAAAGAAAUCCUUGGUUCUAAUAUAGCCGGGGGAUGACGGUACCGGAAGAAUAAGCACCGGCUAACUACGUGCCAGCAGCCGCGGUAAUACGUAGGGUGCGAGCGUUAAUCGGAAUUACUGGGCGUAAAGCGUGCGCAGGCGGUUUGCUAAGACCGAUGUGAAAUCCCCGGGCUCAACCUGGGAACUGCAUUGGUGACUGGCAGGCUAGAGUAUGGCAGAGGGGGGUAGAAUUCCACGUGUAGCAGUG